CUGCAGUCCUAACCUGUCCUCAAUAGAGAAUGUGUGGAGAGUUUUGAAAUGAAAAAUUCAAUGACAACGACCCUGUACUUACUAAUGAGUC